ACUCAACGGAAUCGAGCUUUUAGGUCAUUGAAGGGAUUUAGACUUUGUUCUGUGAAUAGGGAGAAAACAUGGAAGGAUUUUAAACAGGGUCCAUCCACAGGACUGGAGAUUAGGGGCAGGAUUACUGUCUCUGAAAGGUGCAAGGGAAAGAAAUGAGGCAUUACCUCAUUUCUAAAGCCUGGGUGUUUAUUUGCUAAUUUGCCCAGUAUUUAUGGUGGAGCUUUGAUGUGCUGGGAUAUGUAUUGCAUGUGGGGAUAUAGAGGCGAUGAGAUCUACUGGAACCUUGACUUUCUGGGGUUUACUGUCCAAGGGAAGAUAAAGAAUGGGGAGCAAGAUGGCCAAAUAGAAGCCUCCAGCAAUUAUGCCCCCUGCUAGGAACAACAAAAUAAGCAACACAAGAAAAGCACCUUCAUAGAAAUGAAAAAUCAGGUGAGCAAUCACAAUACCCAGUUUUAACUUCCUAUCACCGAAAGAGGUAUUGAAG
rnacentral:lncRNA from 1 species